AGUCCACUUAAGCCCUGCUUAGUAUUGGGAACCUACUGAAGAAGCUACCCUGUAGCUACCCUGUAGUUCCUUAAAGACAGCGGCGGAGUUGCGGUAUCCUCUGAGCUUAGUAAUUUUUUUCUAGCUUUCGAGUUGUCACUGCUUCUGCCGUUAAACACCCUUCUUCUGAAUGG
rnacentral:misc_RNA from 1 species